rnacentral:rRNA from 1 species
UGAGGAAUAUUGGGCAAUGCCCGAAAGGGUGACCCAGCAACGCCGCGUGGAGGAUGAAGGUCGUAAGAUUGUAAACUCCUUUUGAAAGAGACGAAAAAUUGUGUUUCGUAAGGGACAUAACUUGACUGUAUCUUUAGAAGAAGCCCCGGCUAACUACGUGCCAGCAGCCGCGGUAAUACGUAGGGGGCGAGCGUUGUCCGGAUUUACUGGGUGUAAAGGGCGCGUAGGCGGGUUUGUAAGUCAGGGGUGAAAUCCUACAGCUUAACUGUAGAACUGCCUUUGAUACUACAAAUCUUGAGUUCGGAAGAGAGAAUCGGAAUUCCAGGUGUAGUAGUGAAAUACGUAGAUAUCUGGAAGAACACCAGUAGCGAAGGCGGUUUCUUGGUCCGUAACUGACGCUGAGGCGCGAAAGCGUGGGGAGCAAACAGG